AAGAACAGACCAGAGUGUUAAUCUGAUACUAUAAAAACUACAGGCCUUGUGAACAGCAGUGUGUCUUCUUCAAGGCUACAAAUUAAAUCAGUUUCUUUACAUUUAUCAAUACUCUCCCCAAAUGUUCUCAAGGUAGGUUGGAUUAAGAUGUAUAGAUAUUCUUCAAAUUAUCCAGAAUUUUCAUAUCAUAGAUCUCCCACAAUAUAUCUGCCAUAGAGGUCAACAUUUCACAUAGUCCUCCAACAAUAUACAGUUGAAGUCAGAAGUUUACAUACACUUAUGUUGGAGUCAUUAAAACUUGUUUGUCAACCACUCCACACAUUUCUUGUUAACAAACUAUAUUUUUGGCAAGUCGGUUAGGACAUCUACUUUGUGCAUGAUUCAAGUAAUGUUUCCAACAAUUGUUUACAGACAGAUUAUUUAACUUGUAAUUCACUGUAUCACAAUUCCAGUGGGUCAGAAGUUAACAUACACUAAGUUGACUGUGCCCUUAAAUAGCUUGGAAAAUUCAAGAAACGGAUGUCAUGGCUUUAGAAGCUUCUGAUAGGCUAAUUGACAUCAUUUGAGUCAAUUGGAGGUGUACCUGUGGAUGGAUUUCAAGGCCUACUGUCAAACUCAGUGCCUCUUUGCUUGACAUCAUGGGAAAAUGAAAAGAAAUCAGCCAAGACCUCAGAGAAAAAAUUGUAGACCUCCACAAGUCUGGUUCAUCCUUGGGAGCAAUUUCCAAACUCCUGAAGGUACCACGUUCAUCUGUACAAACAAUAGUACGCAAGUAUAAACACCAUGGGACCACGCAGCCGUCAUACCACUCAGGAAGGAGACGCUUUCUGUCUCCUAGAGAUGAACGUACUUUGGUGUGAAAAGUGCAAAUCAAUCCCAGAACAACAGCAAAGGACCUUGUGAAGAUGCUGGAGGAAAGAGGUACAAAAGUAUCUAUAUCCACAGUAAAACGAGUCCUAUAUCGACAUAACCUGAAAGGCCACUUAGCAAGGAAGAAGCCAGUGCUCCAAAACCGCCAUAAAAAAACAGACUACGGUUUGCAACUGCACAUGGGGACAAAGAUUGUACUUUUUGGAGAAAUAUCCUCUGGUCUGAUUAAACAAAAAUAGAACUGUUUAGCCUUGAUGACCAUCGUUAUGUUUGGAGGAAAAAGGGGGAGGCUUGCAAGCCGAAGAACAUCAACCCCAAACGUGAAGCAUUGGGGGUGGCAGCAUCAUAUUGUGGGGGUGCUUUGCUGCUGGAGGGACUGGUGCACUCACAAAAUAGAUGGCAUCAUGAGGUAGGAAAAUUAUGUGGAUAUAUUGAACAUCUCAAGACAUCAGUCAGGAAGUUAAAGCUUGGUCGCAAACGGGUCUUCCAAAUGGACAAUGACCCCAAGCAUACUUCCAAAGUUGUGGCAAAAUGGCUUAAGGACAACAAAGUCAAGGUAUUGGAGUGGCCAUCAAAAAGCCCUGACCUCAAUCCUACAGAAUAUGUGUGGGCAGAACUGAAAGGGUGUGCGAGCAAGGAGGCCUACAAACCUGACUCAGUUACACCAGCUCUGUCAGCAGGAAUGGGCCAAAAUUCACCCAACUUAUUGUGGGAAGCUUGUGGAAGGCUACCCGAAAUGUUUGACCCAAGUUAAACAAUUUAAAGGCAAUGCACACAAAUACUAAUUGUGUGUAUGUAAACUUCUGACACACUGACAUCAUAACUGACCUAAAACAGGGCAUUUUUUACCAGGAUUAAAUGUCAGGGAUUGUGAAAAACUGAGUUUAAAUGUAUUUGGCUAAGGUGAAUGAAAAUUUCCGACUUCAACUGUAUCUGCCAUAGAGGUCAACAUUACACUCCAAAAUGAAAAUAGAAUCAGCUUGAAUUUAUCUUGAUGUCUUAUUAUGAAGCAUUCAGUCAUUCUCAGACUGCUCACAUAGUAGUGCUGCUUACAUCCCUUUCCCUAGAUGUACAUUAGUAAUGAAUGUGAUGAACAGUCAUUCCAAUAUGAUGUAUGGUAUUUCAUUAAAUUAUGACAUGAGACAGAAAUUCAAUGAACAAUAUUAACUAAUGUAUUCUGUUUUACAUGAUCAUUAUUCAUGACUCUCCAUCUUGGAUAAUGGAUGAUCAGAAGAGGGUGAGUAAUUACUUAUUUGUCUGUUUUGUUUAUUGACAACCAAUAACACAAGACAAAGAACAGACCAGAGUGUUAAUCUGAUACUAUAAAAACUACAGGCCUUGUGAACAGCAGUGUGUCUUCUUCAAGGCUACAAAUUAAAUCAGUUUCUUUACAUUUAUCAAUUCUCUCCCCAAAUGUUCUCAAGGUAGGUUGGAUUAAGAUGUAUAGAUGUUCUUCAAAUUAUCCAGAAUUUUCAUAUCAUAGAUCUCCCACAAUAUAUCUGCCAUAUAGCUCAACAUUUCACACACCAACAUUUAAAUAGAAUCAGCUUGAAUUUAUCUUGAUGUCUUAUUAUGAAGCAUUCAGUCAUUCUCAGACUGCUCACAUAGUAGUGCUGCUUACAUCCCUUUCCCUAGAUGUACAUUAGUAAUGAAUGUGAUGAACAGUCAUUCCAAUAUGAUGUAUGGUAUUUCAUUAAAUUAUGUAAUGAGACAGAAAUUCAAUGAACAAUAUUAACUAAUGCAUUCUGUUUUACAUGAUCAUUAUUCAUGACUCUCCAUCUUGGAUAAUGGAUGAUCAGCAUUAGGUGAGUAAUUAUUUGUCUGUUUUGUUUAUUGACAACCAAUAACACAAGACAAAGAACAGACCAGAGUGUUAAUCUGAUACUAUAAAAACUACAGGCCUUGUGAACAGCAGUGUGUCUUCUUCAAGGCUACAAAUUAAAUCAGUUUCUUUACAUUUAUCAAUACUCUCCCCAAAUGUUCUCAAGGUAGGUUGGAUUAUGAUGUCAGAUGUUCUUCAGAUUCUACUGAAUGUAUAUUCCAUAGAACCCUGCCUCCUGACACAAUAUCCUGUAUCUGCCAUAGAGCCCAAUGCUGGUUAUCACUAACAAUGAACAUAAUCAUUUGAUCAGAGAUAGGACAAUAACAAAACAACAUUAUUUAUGAAGUUAACCAGAUCUCAUUGGUGCCCACAGUUCCUACAUGAGGGAGGCUUGCGUGACAGGAGAAAUCUGAUUGGUCCUGUUUGCUCUGUAUAUAGUGAUGUAGUCCACCACACAGAACUCACCUCUCUGUUUUACACCAUAGCCUCAGGAUCAGAGUACUUACAACAUGAGACCCAGGAGGACAAGCUGAAGAGGGAGGCAUCAGCUGGUGAGCUUGUUAAAAUGGCAGAGUCCAGAGUUCAUAAACCCAUUUAAUCCAGCCGGACACAAUACGGAAGAAAAUAAACCUUUUGUACUUUGCUGGAUCUAGAGAAGUUAAAGUUGUACAUAUCAACAAGUAAGUUGGGCUCCUGAGUGGCGCAACGGUUUAAGGCACUGCAUCUCAAGAAGUGUCUCUACAGACUCUGGUUCAAUUCCAGGCUGUAUCACAACCGCCCAUGAUUGGGAGUCCCAAAGGGGGGAGCACAAUUGGUCCAGCAUCGUCUGGGGUUGGCUGUCAUUCUAAAUUAGAACUUGUUCUGAACUGACUUGCCUGGUUAAAUAAAUAAAAUAUGUAUCCAGAGCAAUUAGGAUUAAGUGCCUUGCUCAAGGGCAUAUCAACAAAUGUUUUCCUAGUUUCCUCAGGGAUUCAAACCAGCGACGUUUCGGUUACUGGCCCAAUGCUCUUAAGCGCUAGGCUACCUGCCAAACAUGUCUGACUAAUAGGAAAAUACAGUGCCUCUAAUUUAUUCUAUAUAUUUAGUCAUAGCAGAUCCCUUUUCUUUCUUCAGUAGAUUUAAGUUGAGUUCGGUUCAGGAUUUACUUGUUCUAAAUGAUGUUACAGAUGAUUUUACCAUUAUCCAUUACCUUUACUGAUGUUUAAAUCAGAGAUUUUUACUGUAAAACAUCAUAUGUUGUUAUUUCAGGGGGAAUUGGCCGUGUAUAGACCCAUAAAGUGAAUUAGUAUAAUAAUUGAAGUGAUAUUUAAUGUUAUUAGGUUUGUUUAGUGUCUCUUGCACAAUGGUAGACCUUGUUAGUAUGAAUGUUGAGGCUUGGACACUGGGGUAGACCUGGUUAGUAUGAAUGUUGAGGCUUGGACACUGGGGUAG